GGCAGACUCCAGAUUUUGGCUAAUACAAAUAAAAUUCCUGUGAACAUUCGUGUACAGGUUUUUGUGUGAACAAAUGUUCUCAUUUGUCUGGAAUAAAUACCCAGGAAUGCAAACGAUGGUACAUACAGUAAUUGCAUACUUAGUUUUAUAAGAAACUGCCUCUUUUCCAGAAUGGCUGUGCCAUUUCACAUCUAUACCAGCAAUAUAUGAACAAUCUAGUUUCUCUGCAUCCUUGUCAGCAUGUGGUAUCAUCACUAUUUAUUAUUUUAGCCAUUCUGGCACUGGACAUAUAACGCUGAACAAGAUAAUUAUGGGACUUGAACUCUAGAAUUGCAAAUGCUGAUCAACACUAUGAAGGGACUGCAGCAUUGAGAUGACAAGGGGGAGGUAACAAGUCUUAAGAAGAAACUGAAGAACGUGGGCCAAAUACAGGACAGUGUCAAUGCAGAAAAGGGACAAGAUAUAAGAAAUUUAAAAAGGUCAAGAAGAAGAUAACCAGCACCUCAGAAGCUCUCUUCAUACACCCCUCAACCACUACUCACUGGAUUUGUUUGGCCUAUUUUCAAACAUUGUAUCUAUAAAAUCAUAUAGUAUGCAUUACUUCGUUUUGCUUUUCCAUUCCACAUUAUGUUUGUGAGAUAUAUCAAUGUGACCGUAGGUGGUAGUAGUUUGACCUAUUUCAUUGUUAUAUAGUAUUUCAUCUUAUGCCUAUACCAUGAUUUAUCUAUUCUUCUCUUGAUUAACAUGUAACUUGUUUUCAGUUUGGGAACAGUAUAAAGUUAUGUUGCUAUAAAACAUUUUUACAUGGCUUCUGGCACUACUAAGUACUAUUCAUUGUUGACUCUAUAACAUGGAGUAUUCAUUGCUGGGCCACAGGGUGUGUGUAUGUUUAACUUUAGUUACUACUGUCAAUUCCUUUUCAAAAGUGGUUGUACAGGUACCAAAUUUGUUCUCACACCAGCCAUUUAUGCAGAAUCCAGUGACUCCAUAUCUUUGCCAACACUUGGUAUCUCAUUAUGGUUUUAAUUUUCCUGUUCCUAAUCACUAAUGAAAUUAAGUUUUUUUUUUUUAAGUACCAACACUACUUUAACAGAAUUGACUUUCUGAUAUCAUUGAUUUAUCUUUAUCUAGAACUGCUCUUCAUGGUAGGCAACUCACUAGUUGAUGCCCUUAAAACUUUUCCUUAGAGAGUACAGAUUUUUAAUCUAAAAAUUAGCAAGUGUGUUAUAUGGACAUUUUCUUUGUGUAACAACAACACAGGUAAAAAUAAACAACUUUCUAAAUAUUAAUACCACUUUUAAAAGCUAUUCUGAAAUUCUUUAUCCUUACAAGUAUUUGGUGAAAAGGUGAGGUAAUUUUAUUGGCAUAAAUGUAUAUCUCAUAAUUAUCAACAAACAAAAUGAAUUCCAACUGUAAUACUCAGACACGUUUUGCAUGAAAAGUAACCUGGAAUGGCAAAUGCAAUAGUAUCUCCUUAUUUUUUAGGCCAUUAAAAAUCAUUGCUGGCUGGGCGCAGUGGCUCAUGCCUGUAAUCCAGCACUUUGGGAGGCCGAGGCAGGUGGAUCACCUGAGGUCGGGAGUUCAAGACCAGCCUGGCCAACAUGGUGAAACCCCGUCUCUACUAAAAAUACAAAAAUUAGCCAGGCUUGGUGGUGCAUGCCUGUAGUCCCAGGUACUCGGGAGGCUGAGGCAGGAGAAUCACUUGAACCCAGGAGGCAGAGGUUGCAGUGAGCUGAGAUGGAGCCAUUACACUCCAGCCUGGGUGACAGAGCGAAACUCUGUCUCAAAAAAAAAAAAGAAAAAAUAAUUGCCACUUCCACCCACAUCAUCAAUGAAGAAGGGCAGCAACAAAUUCGGCUACAUAAAGAUGACAAAUAUACAAAGGACAGCCUGUGAGAAGGGACAGGUUUAGAUUUUUGGCUUCAUGCUCAGGUUUCAUAUUUUCCAAUUUGAAUUUCUACUGAUUUUGAUAUCCUUUUUAUGUUCUGAUUAGGCAGAUUAAAUAUGUCUAUAAAGAAUUUUCCAGAUACAUGAUAUUACAUAAGAUCAUAAUAAAAUUAUUUGAAGACACCGG
rnacentral:lncRNA from 1 species